rnacentral:rRNA from 1 species
AACGAACGCUGGCGGCGUGGAUAAGACAUGCAAGUCGGACGGGAUUACUUUUGGUAGCAAUACCGAAAGUGAUUCAGUGGCGAACGGGUGCGUAACACGUGGGCAAUCUACCGAGAAGUGGGGGAUAGCUCGCCGAAAGGCGAAUUAAUACCGCAUGUGAUCAGGAGCGACAUCGCUUCGAAAUCAAAGGUGGCGCAAGCUACCGCUUUUUGACGAGCCCGCGGCCUAUCAGCUUGUUGGUGAGGUAACGGCUCACCAAGGCGAUGACGGGUAGCUGGUCUGAGAGGACGACCAGUCACACUGGGACUGAGACACGGCCCAGACACCUACGGGUGGCAGCAGUCGAGAAUUUUUCUCAAUGGGGGAAACCCUGAAGGAGCGACGCCGCGUGGAGGAUGAAGGUCUUCGGGUUGUAAACUCCUGUCAUUUGGGAACAAGGCGUACGUGUUAAUUGCACGUGCGUUGAUAGUACCAGAAGAGGAAGAGACGGCUAACUCUGUGCCAGCCGCCGCAGUAACAC